rnacentral:rRNA from 1 species
UACGAAGGGGGCUAGCGUUGCUCGGAAUCACUGGGCGUAAAGGGCGCGUAGGCGGGGAGGUAAGUCGGGUGUGAAAUCCCUCGGCCCAACCGAGGAACUGCGCCCGAGACUGCUUCUCUUGAGUCCCGGAGAGGAAGAUGGAAUUCCCGGUGUAGUGGUGAAAUACGUAGAGAUUGGGAAGAACACCAGUGGCGAAGGCGGCUAUCUGGACGGUUUCUGACGCUAAGACGCGAAAGCGUGGGGAGCAAACAGG